AUGAACGCUAGCGGCAGGCUUAACACAUGCAAGUCGAGGGGCAGCGGAGCGGAGUGCUUGCACUCUGCUGCCGGCGACCGGCGCACGGGUGAGUAACACGUAUGCAACCUGCCCCGGAGCGGGGGAUAACCCGGCGAAAGCCGGACUAAUACCGCGUAUAUAUCCAGGAGGCAUCUUCUGGAUAGGAAAGGACUUCGGUCCGCUCCGGGAUGGGCAUGCGGCGCAUUAGGCAGACGGCGGGGUAACGGCCCACCGUACCGACGAUGCGUAGGGGUUCUGAGAGGAAGGCCCCCCACACUGGUACUGAGACACGGACCAGACUCCUACGGGAGGCAGCAGUGAGGAAUAUUGGUCAAUGGGCGAGAGCCUGAACCAGCCAAGCCGCGUGAGGGAAGAAGGCGCUCAGCGUCGUAAACCUCUUUAGCCGGGGGACAAAACCUCCUCGUGAAGGAGGCUUGAGAGUACCCGGAGAAUAAGCAUCGGCUAACUCCGUGCCAGCAGCCGCGGUAAUACGGAGGAUGCGAGCGUUAUCCGGAUUUAUUGGGUUUAAAGGGUGCGCAGGCGGACAUUCAAGUCUGCGGUCAAAUUCCGGGGCUCAACCCCGGCCAGCCGUGGAAACUGAAUGACUUGAGUGGGCGAGAGGUAUGCGGAAUGCGCGGUGUAGCGGUGAAAUGCUUAGAGAUCGCGCAGAACUCCGAUUGCGAAGGCAGCAUACCGGCGCCUUACUGACGCUCAGGCACGAAAGCGUGGGGAUCGAACAGGAUUAGAUACCCUGGUAGUCCACGCAGUAAACGAUGAAUGCUGGUUGUUCGGGCCGACUGAGGCCUGAGUAACGUAGUGAAAACGUUAAGCAUUCCACCUGGGGAGUACGCCGGCAACGGUGAAACUCAAAGGAAUUGACGGGGGCCCGCACAAGCGGUGGAGCAUGUGGUUUAAUUCGAAGCAACGCGAAGAACCUUACCAGGUCUUGACAUCCCGAUGCUAUUCUUAGAGAUAGGAAGUUACUUCGGUACAUCGGAGACAGGUGGUGCAUGGUUGUCGUCAGCUCGUGUCGUGAGAUGUUGGGUUAAGUCCCGCAACGAGCGCAACCCCUAUCCUAUGUUACCAGCAAGUAAAGUUGGGGACUCAUGGGAGACUGCCAGGGACAACCUGGAGGAAGGCGGGGAUGACGUCAAAUCAGCACGGCCCUUACGUCCGGGGCGACACACGUGUUACAAUGGCAGGGACAGAGGGAAGCCACCGGGCGACCGGGCGCGGACCCCGAAACCCUGUCUCAGUUCGGAUCGGAGUCUGCAACUCGACUCCGUGAAGCUGGAUUCGCUAGUAAUCGCGCAUCAGCCAUGGCGCGGUGAAUACGUUCCCGGGCCUUGUACACACCGCCCGUCAAGCCAUGGAAGCCGGGAGUGCCUGAAGUGCGUGACCGCAAGGAGCGCCCUAGGGUAAAACCGGUGACUGGGGCU
rnacentral:rRNA from 1 species